GUUGCUGCUGUUCCAGCAGCCUGGGGACCGCGUCUCCUCGCCGUUUAAGGCUCCUCUUGGCUCUGCCGCUUGUCUUGUCGAUUUGUGACCUGACCGAAUUGUCGCACUGAACGCAUGAGUCGUAUGAAGGACGCCGGGGGACCCAGGAGCCCUAGAAAUGGUCAGGAACUGCUUGGAUGUGGAUGUGAGCAGAGAGCAGGAAUAUCGAAAGCUCUACUUCCCUGUGAUUAAUAAUUAAGAUUCCUCAUAAAUAAAUACGCAUGGUUCAU